GACGAACGCUGGCGGCGUGCUUAACACAUGCAAGUCGAACGGAAAGGCCCUGCUUUUGUGGGGUGCUCGAGUGGCGAACGGGUGAGUAACACGUGAGUAACCUGCCCUUGACUUUGGGAUAACUUCAGGAAACUGGGGCUAAUACCGGAUAGGAGCUCCUGCUGCAUGGUGGGGGUUGGAAAGUUUCGGCGGUUGGGGAUGGACUCGCGGCUUAUCAGCUUGUUGGUGGGGUAGUGGCUUACCAAGGCUUUGACGGGUAGCCGGCCUGAGAGGGUGACCGGCCACAUUGGGACUGGGAUACGGCCCAGACCACUACGGGAGGCAGCAGUGGGGAAUAUUGCACAAUGGGCGGAAGCCUGAGGCAGCAACGCCGCGUGCGGGAUGACGGCCUUCGGGUUGUAAACCGAUUUCGCCUGUGACGAAGCGUGAGUGACGGUAAUGGGUAAAGAAGCACCGGCUAACUACGUG
rnacentral:rRNA from 1 species